rnacentral:rRNA from 1 species
CCUACGGGUGGCAGCAGUGGGGAAUAUUGCACAAUGGGGGGAACCCUGAUGCAGCGACGCCGCGUGAGUGAAGAAGUAUUUCGGUAUGUAAAGCCCUAUCAGCAGGGAAGAAGAUGACGUUACCUGACUCAGAAGCCCCGUCUAACUACGUGCCAGCAGCCGGGGGAAUACGGAGGGGGCAAGCGUUAUCCGGAUUUACUGGGGGUAAAGGGGGUGUAGACGGCAGGGCAAGUCUAGAGUGAAAGCCCGGGGCCCAACCCCGGGACUGCAUUGGAAACUGCCAUGCUAGAGUGCUGGAGAGGUAAGCGGAAUUCCUAGUGUAGCGGUGAAAUGCGUAGAUAUUAGGAGGAACACCGGUGGCGAAGGCAGCUUACUGGAGCGUAACUGACGUUGAGGCUCGAAAGCGUGGGGAGCGAACAGGAUUAGAUACCCUGGUAGUC